rnacentral:rRNA from 1 species
CUAAGCAUCAGGUAACAUCAAAUCGUACCCCAAACCGACACAGGUGGUCAGGUAGAGAAUACCAAGGCGCUUGAGAGAACUCGGGUGAAGGAACUAGGCAAAAUGGUGCCGUAACUUCGGGAGAAGGCACGCUGAUAUGUAGGUGAAGUCCCUCGCGGAUGGAGCUGAAAUCAGUCGAAGAUACCAGCUGGCUGCAACUGUUUAUUAAAAACACAGCACUGUGCAAACACGAAAGUGGACGUAUACGGUGUGACGCCUGCCCGGUGCCGGAAGGUUAAUUGAUGGGGUCAGCGCAAGCGAAGCUCUUGAUCGAAGCCCCGGUAAACGGCGGCCGUAACUAUAACGGUCCUAAGGUAGCGAAAUUCCUUGUCGGGUAAGUUCCGACCUGCACGAAUGGCGUAAUGAUGGCCAGGCUGUCUCCACCCGAGACUCAGUGAAAUUGAACUCGCUGUGAAGAUGCAGUGUACCCGCGGCAAGACGGAAAGACCCCGUGAACCUUUACUAUAGCUUGACACUGAACAUUGAGCCUUGAUGUGUAGGAUAGGUGGGAGGCUUUGAAGUGUGGACGCCAGUCUGCAUGGAGUCGACCUUGAAAUACCACCCUUUAAUGUUUGAUGUUCUAACGUGGACCCGUGAUCCGGGUUGCGGACAGUGUCUGGUGGGUAGUUUGACUGGGGCGGUCUCCUCCUAAAGAGUAACGGAGGAGCACGAAGGUUGGCUAAUCCUGGUCGGACAUCAGGAGGUUAGUGCAAUGGCAUAAGCCAGCUUGACUGCGAGCGUGACGGCGCGAGCAGGUGCGAAAGCAGGUCAUAGUGAUCCGGUGGUUCUGAAUGGAAGGGCCAUCGCUCAACGGAUAAAAGGUACUCCGGGGAUAACAGGCUGAUACCGCCCAAGAGUUCAUAUCGACGGCGGUGUUUGGCACCUCGAUGUCGGCUCAUCACAUCCUGGGGCUGAAGUAGGUCCCAAGGGUAUGGCUGUUCGCCAUUUAAAGUGGUACGCGAGCUGGGUUUAGAACGUCGUGAGACAGUUCGGUCCCUAUCUGCCGUGGGCGAUGGAGAACUGAGGGGGGCUGCUCCUAGUACGAGAGGACCGGAGUGGACGCAUCACUGGUGUUCGGGUUGUCAUGCCAAUGGCACUGCCCGGUAGCUAAAUGCGGAAGAGAUAAGUGCUGAAAGCAUCUAAGCACGAAACUUGCCCCGAGAUGAGUUCUCCCUGACCCUUUAAGGGUCCUGAAGGAACGUUGAAGACGACGACGUUGAUAGGCCGGGUGUGUAAGCGCAGCGAUGCGUUGAGCUAACCGGUACUAAUGAACCGUGAGGCUUAACCUU